UACGAAGGGUGCAAACGUUGCUCGGAAUUAUUGGGCGUAAAGCGCACGUAGGCGGUGUGGCAAGUCGGGAGUGAAAUCUCUGGGCUCAACUCAGAGACUGCUUCCGAAACUGCUGUGCUGGAGUGUGGGAGAGGCGCGUGGAAUUGCAGGUGUAGCGGUGAAAUGCGUAGAUAUCUGCAGGAACACCCGUGGCGAAAGCGGCGCGCUGGACCACUACUGACGCUGAGGAACGAAAGCUAGGGGAGCAAACAGG
rnacentral:rRNA from 1 species